rnacentral:rRNA from 1 species
UACAGAGGGGGCAAGCGUUAAUCGGAAUUACUGGGCGUAAAGCGUGCGUAGACGGUUAUGUAAGUCAGGUGUGAAAGCCCCGGGCUCAACCUGGGAAUGCCAUUUGAGACUGCAUAGCUAGGGUACGGAAGAGGGAAGCGGAAUUUCAGGUGUAGCGGUGAAAUGCGUAGAUAUCUGAAGGAACACCAGUGGCGAAAGCGGCUUCCUGGUCCAGUACCGACGUUCAGGCACGAAAGCGUGGGGAGCAAACAGG